UGGAUAAGUGAUGGCAUCCCAAGUAGCAACCGAAGCUUUUUUCUCCCAGUUUCAACCCCCUCAUGUCCACAAACUGCCUUCGCUUACUAUUCCUAUCCCGUUUCUACAUUCCACAACGUUUGUUGCGUUCUCACUCAUCAGGGUGUUAGUCAAUUCUCUCUUGCCACACGAAGAGAUUUCUCCUGCACACUUCGUGUGUUUGAUUCUACCCAUCCCUGUUGAACACACGUCAUUUUCUUCCAUCGCACUCAUCAGGGUGUUUGCUCUUUUCCAUCCAAGCCAAAGAGCGACUUCAGUGUGCUCUGAACCGUGGACGUGAGAGUGUGUGUUUGUGUGCUGCGUGAACUAUUUUUCCUGCGUGAAACACUUUCCAUACUGCGCCAUCCGCGGUGUUCUUUCUGCUUUAUCGGAGAACAAAUUGUUAUCUUCCAAUUGUUUCGGUAAGUGUCCUUUUCUAAGUGUCUUCUAAGUUUCUAGUGUUAUGUGACAUUUAUUCUAAUUAAAACAUUGCACUUUACAUGUUUCAGAUGUGUGCUGCUACCGCUAGCUGUUCUCCAAACCUCUUCAAAUUGCGACACUGUGUGCACAGGCGUUCAAGGUUCAAUUGAUCCUCGAGCACAAAGCCUUCAUACAACACCGCGGUUGAGGCGCGUCAAAUCUGAUGACAUCUUUCCUGAACCAAGCAGGCUGAACACGCGAACCACCACGGGCUCCAGCGCGGUGUGAAGCGGAAAGAAGAAAAGACAAAAUUGAAAACAGCCGCGCCAGGCUUCCAACCACCGUGUGUGUGUAUGUAAGUAUGUGAGAACACAUGUGUGAAUCCUCUUGUGGGAACUGCAAAAAGAAGAUAAUAAAGAGUGUGAAGCAGCUAGACUGCCGCAACCAAA